AUGAUAAGAAUGACCACAUAUGCACCCCCACACACGCAUGGGUGCCAACAAUGGUAUGCAGAGUGCUCUCUAUGGGAACAUGCCACUGGGCAGAGGGACUCAGGUGAAGCUGCUCCCCUCCUCCUCUCCCUCUCCACCAUGCCUGAUGACAUUUUUUCACAUUCCCCACCCCUCUACCCAGCAGCCCAAUGGGAGUGCACAGAGGGUAAGGUGGGUGGCUCACAGGUGGCAGAGCUGGAGGGAAGCAGAGUGCUCCGGCCACUCCCCGCCCCCUUUCUAUACUCACUGAGGACAUUCCUCACUUCAUCCAACCCUGUGCCCAGCAGCCCAGUGGAAGUGCUUCCUCCCUCCUGUGUGAGCUUUACUGAGGAGCAGCUGCUGAGAAUGCUACAGCUUCUUGGAGCCACAGGAAACUGAAGGCUAGGAAAUUAAAUGACUGCUUAAGAUCCUAAAGUCAAUAAGUGUCAGAGGUGGAAUUUGAAUCAAGGUCUUCCUGACUCCAAGACUUGUCCUCUCUACAUUAUGCCAGGAUGUCUCUCAAUAUAUUAACUUUCAGAAUGGUGCCUUUUAAUUUGUAGUCUGCAUCCGGUGAAUAGUAGAAGCCCAGUAUAUAGCAACUGAUAAUGUCACGGCAUAACUGGUUAGUAUUGGUAACAUCUGAGUUUUAUAGAAGUCCCUUCAAUUAGUGGCCAAAGGAUAUGAACAAUGAAUUUUCAAAAUAAAAACUGCCAACUAUCAACCUCCA
rnacentral:lncRNA from 1 species